GACGAACGCUGGCGGCGUGCUUAACACAUGCAAGUCGAACGGAAAGACCCUGCUUUUGUGGGGUGCUCGAGUGGCGAACGGGUGAGUAACACGUGAGUAACCUGCCCUUGACUUUGGGAUAACUUCAGGAAACUGGGGCUAAUACCGGAUAGGAGCUCCUGCUGCAUGGUGGGGUUGGAAAGUUUCGGCGGUUGGGGAUGGACUCGCGGCUUAUCAGCUUGUUGGUGGGGUAGUGGCUUACCAAGGCUUUGACGGGUAGCCGGCCUGAGAGGGUGACCGGCCACAUUGGGACUGAGAUACGGCCCAGACUCCUACGGGAGGCAGCAGUGGGGAAUAUUGCACAAUGGGCGGAAGCCUGAUGCAGCAACGCCGCGUGCGGGAUGACGGCCUUCGGGUUGUAAACCGCUUUCGCCUGUGACGAAGCGUGAGUGACGGUAAUGGGUAAAGAAGCACCGGCUAACUACGUG
rnacentral:rRNA from 1 species